rnacentral:rRNA from 1 species
UUUAGUCAGGCAACGAGCGAGACCCACGCCAACAGUUGCCAGCAUGUCCUCCGGGAUGGUGGGGACACUGUUGGGACCGCCUCUGCUAAAGAGGAGGAAGGAAUGGGCAACGGUAGGUCAGCAUGCCCCGAAUUAUCCGGGCUACACGCGGGCUACAAUGGUCAGGACAAUGGGUAUCGACACCGAAAGGUGAAGGCAAUCUCCUAAACCCAUCCUUAGUUCGGAUUGUGGGCUGCAACUCGCCCACAUGAAGCUGGAAUCCGUAGUAAUCGUGUCUCAAAAUGGCACGGUGAAUAUGUCCCUGCUCCUUGCACA